rfam:Ictidomys tridecemlineatus contig071378, whole genome shotgun sequence.
UGGGGUGUGGCUCAGCGGUAGAGCGCUCGCUUAGCACGCAUGAGGCCCUGGGUUCAAUCCCCAGCACCAUAU